GUGGCCAAAUGGUUAGAGCGUCCGCCUCGGAUGCGUGACGUCGCGGGUUCGAACCCCGGCCAAGUCA